rnacentral:rRNA from 1 species
AUUGAACGCUGGCGGCAGGCCUAACACAUGCAAGUCGAGCGGAUGAAGGGAGCUUGCUCCUGGAUUCAGCGUCGGACGGGAGAGUAAUGCCUAGGAAUCUGCCUGGUAGUGGGGGAUAACGUCCGGAAACGGGCGCUAAUACCGCAUACGUCCUGAUGGAGAAAGUGGGGGAUCUUCGGACCUCACGCUAUCAGAUGAGCCUAGGUCGGAUUAGCUAGUUGGUGGGGUAAAGGCCUACCAAGGCGACGAUCCGUAACUGGUCUGAGAGGAUGAUCAGUCACCCUGGAGCUGGGACACGGUCCAGACUCCUACGGGAGGCAGCAGUGGGGAAUGUUGGACAAUGGGCGAAAGCCUGAUCCAGCCAUGCCGCGUGUGUGAAGAAGGUCUUCGGAUUGUAAAGCACUUUAAGUUGGGAGGAAGGGCAGUAAGUUAAUACCUUGCUGUUUUGACGUUACCAACAGAAUAAGCACCGGCUAACUUCGUG